AUUGAACGCUGGCGGAAUGCUUUACACAUGCAAGUCGAACGGCAGCACGGGGCAACCUGGUGGCGAGUGGCGAACGGGUGAGUAAUACAUCGGAACGUGCCCAAUCGUGGGGGAUAACGUAGCGAAAGUUACGCUAAUACCGCAUACGAUCUACGGAUGAAAGCGGGGGAUCGCAAGACCUCGCGCGAAUGGAGCGGCCGAUGUCAGAUUAGGUAGUUGGUGGGGUAAAGGCUCACCAAGCCGACGAUCUGUAGCUGGUCUGAGAGGACGACCAGCCACACGGGGACUGGAACACGGCCCAGACUCCUGCGGGAGGCAGCAGUGGGGAAUUUUGGACAAUGGGCGCAAGCCUGAUCCAGCCAUUCCGCGUGCAGGAUGAAGGCCUUCGGGUUGUAAACUGCUUUUGUACGGAACGAAACGGUUCUCUCUAAUACAGGGGGCUAAUGACGGUACCGUAAGAAUAAGCACCGGCUAACUACGUGCCAGCAGCCGCGGUAACAC
rnacentral:rRNA from 1 species